rnacentral:tRNA from 1 species
UGGCUCAGCUGGUAGAGCAUGGCACUUGCGAAGCCAGGGCUGUGGGGUUCGAUUCCCAC